GAUGAACGCUGACAGAAUGCUUAACACAUGCAAGUCAACUUGAAUUUGGGUUUUUAACUUAGAUUUGGGUGGCGGACGGGUGAGUAACGCGUAAAGAACUUGCCUCACAGCUAGGGACAACAUUUAGAAAUGAAUGCUAAUACCUGAUAUUAUGAUUUUAAGGCAUCUUAGAAUUAUGAAAGCUAUAUGCACUGUGAGAGAGCUUUGCGUCCCAUUAGCUAGUUGGAGAGGUAACAGCUCACCAAGGCGAUGAUGGGUAGCCGGCCUGAGAGGGUGAACGGCCACAAGGGGACUGAGACACGGCCCUUACUCCUACGGGAGGCAGCAGUGGGGAAUAUUGGACAAUGGACCGAGAGUCUGAUCCAGCAAUUCUGUGUGCACGAUGAAGUUUUUCGGAAUGUAAAGUGCUUUCAGUUGGGAAGAAAUAAAUGACGGUACCAACAGAAGAAGCGACGGCUAAAUACGUGCCAGCAGCCGCGGUAAUACGUAUGUCACGAGCGUUAUCCGGAUUUAUUGGGCGUAAAGCGCGUCUAGGUGGUUAUGUAAGUCUGAUGUGAAAAUGCAGGGCUCAACUCUGUAUUGCGUUGGAAACUGUGUAACUAGAGUACUGGGGAGGUAAGCGGAACUACAAGUGUAGAGGUGAAAUUCGUAGAUAUUUGUAGGAAUGCCGAUGGGGAAGCCAGCUUACUGGACAGAUACUGACGCUAAAGCGCGAAAGCGUGGGUAGCAAACAGG
rnacentral:rRNA from 1 species